UACAGAGGGGGCAAGCGUUAUUCGGAAUUAUUGGGCGUAAAGGGCGCGUAGGCGGCCAUUCAAGUGACGGGUGAAAGCCCUCGGCUUAACCGAGGAACUGCCUGUCAGACUGGAUGGCUUGAGACCGGGAGAGGUGAGUGGAAUUCCCAGUGUAGCGGUGAAAUGCGUAGAUAUUGGGAGGAACACCAGUGGCGAAGGCGGCUCACUGGACCGGAACUGACGCUGAGGCGCGAAAGCGUGGGGAGCAACAGGG
rnacentral:rRNA from 1 species